rnacentral:ncRNA from 3 species
UGACCUCAAAUCAGGUAGGACUACCCG